GGCUGUCGUAAAAACCCUAUUUGUAAACAACCAGCCCUUUAACUCGGGGCUGCGUCAUAAACACGGCGCGCUUGGAAGACCACGAUGUCAUCUUCCUUCUGUCAGGAGGAUCCAAGUGAAGCUACAGGAGUUUCAUUAACGUCAACAACUUGGACCAAACAGUUUGUUUUGCUUGAUGAAGAGCAGGAAGGGCAGCCUGGAGAGAAAGAGAAGCCGGGUUGAGCCCACUACCAUCAUCCACGUACCACGAGGAAGAUGAGGGAGAGAAAUGAUCCUACCAUUAAAGAGACUGUGAAAAGAACGUUGAGAACAUCACCACUCUACAGGAAGACACAGUCCAGUAAUGGGUGUCAGAAGUUCAGUAGUGAACGACAGAAACAAACAAUCCAAAUUACCUGCAGAAAGCCCUUGAUGGACGCUUCAGCUGCAUCGUCAGACUGGCAGUACUGAUGCAUUUACUGAGACGGGACGUGAGGGCCUACUCUGCGUGCUCAGAGUUCAAGCCCAGCAGGCUGCAGCGGGCCUGACAUAUUCUGGAACAGCAGCACAGUCUUUGGAUGACUCCUCUGAAGAUGAAAACAUGGCGAGUUCUUCUCAAGAGAAGCAGUACAGGUGUGCCUCAGCUCCACGGUCCCUCCUGCAGCCUCCGCUCCUGAUGCUAACCUCAUGUCUCCAUCACACCAAGCAGCAGACCUGGAUUGACAGACCUUUCUCCAGAGCUGCCCCCUCCCUCUGAAACCCCCCUCUCCAAAACACUAUUUGUGUAGUUUUUAAAGUAUUUUUUGCAUGAGAAUUGUUGAUCAUAACAUUUCCAGCAGAUGCCUUAAUAUAAUGUUUGUGCACAA